GGAAGAGAUCGUUCCCCGGUGGGGCGCCCGGUCUUCAAAACCGGGAGGGGCCGCCACGCGGCCCCUGGUAGGUUCGACUCCUGCUCUCUUCCGCCA
rnacentral:tRNA from 1 species